GCUGGCGGCAGGCUUAACACAUGCAAGUCGAGCGGUCCCUUCGGGGAUAGCGGCGGACGGGUGAGUAACGCGUGGGAACGUGCCCUUCACUACGGAAUAGCCCAUGGAAACGUGGAUUAAUACCGUAUACGCCCUUCGGGGGAAAGAAUUUCGGUGAGGGAUCGGCCCGCGUCUGAUUAGGUAGUUGGUGGGGUAAUGGCCUACCAAGCCGACGAUCAGUAGCUGGUUUUAGAGGAUGAUCAGCCACACUGGGACUGAGACACGGCCCAGACUCCUACGGGAGGCAGCAGUGGGGAAUCUUAGACAAUGGGGGCAACCCUGAUCUAGCCAUGCCGCGUGAGUGAUGAAGGUCUUAGGAUCGUAAAGCUCUUUCGCCUGUGAUGAUAAUGACAGUAGCAGGUAAAGAAACCCCGGCUAACUCCGUGCCAGCAGCCGCGGUAAUACGGAGGGGGUUAGCGUUGUUCGGAAUUACUGGGCGUAAAGCGCGCGUAGGCGGACUGGAAAGUUGGGGGUGAAAUCCCGGGGCUCAACCCCGGAACUGCCUUCAAAACUAUCAGUCUAAAUUC
rnacentral:rRNA from 1 species